CCGUAAAUUCGAAAUAAUAUUACUAGUCCAGUUUUCUAUUAAAUAUUUAACUCGAGUAGACCUCAGCUUUCUAUAGCUUACAGCUCGUUUGCUAGCUAUACUUAGUGUUACGCCCUUAAAGUUUCAUUAGUUUUAUUUCCCUUAUUAACACAAUUAACGGAGCUUGUACGAUGUAAAGGUCAUAUAACGACCUUGAGUAAACUUCGUUGAUUUGAAAAUAUCGUUAGUAAACUUAAGGACAACGCAGCACACAUCAUUAAAGGACAGCUACGGUAAUUAUAAUAGCGAGUGUAAGUUUG